CAGUGUCUGGUCUAAACGAUCAAUGGUAGUUUGGAAAGAAUCAGAUCAGAUUCAGUAUCAUCGUUUUUACCCGUCUGUCCUUCUAACUUACUCUAUGACACAUCAGCUAAAGAUUUCUGGAGUUGAUGAAUACAUGAACUUUCCCUCUCGCUUCAGUGUAUCUGCGUUCACCUCGUGUCUCUUUAUGAGAACCUCAACAAAACAGCUUACUGGUUCAGACCUGAUCUGACUUAAAUGUGACGGCAAAUGAAACUAAAGAGCGGAGGUGCAAAAGUUCACCACAGACUGAAUUUCUGUUCACAGAGAAAAACAAAACUCCGAGCAGAAACAGGAAACCACCAAAGUCAACGUGAGGCUACAGCAAACUGUCAGAAAGAGCGAACAACAAGGUAAGAAGUAUGUUUUCCUCUUAUUUCAUUGUUUGUUUGUUUUUCUCUGUCCUUUUCUUAUAACAGCUCCACAUUAUUGAAAGAGUUAUUAGGUGAAUAUUAUUUUAGAGGAGCUCUGCUUUUCUUUUUAACUCUGAUAUUGACAUUAAAAAAACCAUCAAACCAGUUGUGAGCAGUAAAAACUGAACAAUUCAAAGGUGUACGGUCAAAAAAAUGUCUUUUUGGUGAUUUUAUCAGCUGAUCAAAUCUGUAAAGUAAACAUUGAUUUGGUCCUAAAGUCUCAGGACUUUAGUGUCAAAACAGUCUGACAGUAAACAGCAGCAGUUUCUCACUUUGACGGGACAUCUAGUGUAGAAAUGUUUUCUUUAUUCUGUAAAGUGUUGACUCUAGUGUAGAUACCCAGAAGUGUCCGUCUCUAAGACUUUGGAUGAAGACAUCAGAACAAUAGAAAUAAUGAAGGACGGUCCAAAGUCUAACAGACAGAGAAUCAACCUGGAUCUGUCCUCAGGACGGGUUUGAGGACAGAUCUGGAUCUCAGCUUUAGGGGGCUGGACCGAAAACUUUACUUCCUGUUCUUGUGAAGUGGUGAUCCUGGUGUGGGCAGUUUGGCACUGACUACUUUACAUAACACACACCUUUAACAGCCUGCUGGGUGUAACUUUCUCAUGUCUCCUCCUGGUUGUGUAGUUUGAUGAGUGGGCGCCCCCUAGUGUCAGAAACAAAUGAGUGCAGCUUUAAUGUUGUCUUCAGAUUUAGACAUGAAAUAAUUGUUUGAAUGACAACAGACCUUUGACCUGCUCUGUGUGUGUGUGUGUGUGUGUGUGUGUGUGUGUGUGUGUGUGUGUGUGUGUGUGUGUGUGGUUCCUCUGACAGGGUGAAGAUGGUCUCCAGGUUCCUGCUGCUCAUGGCUCUGAGCGUCUGUGUCUCUGGUUGGUUUCCACCUUCACUUUCUUCUCCACAAAGAGAAAAGAGGAGAUCCACUUUGAGACUGACUGAAACACUUGAACACUUCCAUUAGAAAAGAUGUUGAAAGACUCACAUGUUCCUGUGUUUUUCUGCUCCUCUCUUUCCCUCUCUGUCUCCUCUACAGGAACACUUGUAGUCAAGGUGGCUCACAGCUCCUAUCAGACAGAAGUGGACCAGGACCUCACCCUGGAGUGGACCUUCACACCCAGACCUGACAGCUCUCUGAAAAAUCUCGAUAUCUUCUGUUACAUGUUCAACAAUCAGAAAUACUCAGUCCUGUUUGAGCUUCGUAAAGGUGUGGAGGUCCCAGAGGCUCAGGCUAAAGAGUUGGUAGGGCGAGUCCAGUGUGACAAAGAGGUCCUCAGAGAGGGACUGAUCAGACUUCAUGUGUCCUCACUCAGGACUGAAGACUCAGGCUGGUCUCAGUGUAAAGUAAUCACAGAAUAUGGGAACAGCUUGGACAUAUGUCAUGUCAGUGUGACUGGUGAGUUGAUUUAUUCUUUAGCAGAACUUUAAAAAGUUUCUUCUCCACAAAGAGAAAAGAGGAGAUCCACUUUGAGACUGACUGAAACACUUGAACACUUCCAUUAGAAAAGAUGUUGAAAGACUCACAUGUUCCUGUGUUUUUCUGCUCCUCUCUUUCCCUCUCUGUCUCCUCUACAGGAACACUUGUAGUCAAAGUGGCUCACAGAUCCUAUGAGGCACAGGAGGACCAGGACAUCACCCUGGAGUGGACCUUCACACCCAAACCUCACAGCUCUCUGCAGACUCUGAACAUUUUCUGUGGUAUGUUCAGUGGUAAGAAAAACUCAGUCCUGUUUGAGCUUCAUGAAGGAGUGGAGGUCCCACAGAAGGAGGGAGACUUUGUAGGUCGAGUCCAGUGUGACAAAGAGGUCCUCAAAGAGGGACAGAUCAGACUUCAUGUGUCCUCACUCAGGACUGAAGACUCAGGAUUCUAUCAGUGUGGAGUCAAGACAGAGUAUGGGAGCAACUUGGACAAAUGUUUUCUCUUUGUGUCCGGUGAGUUGAUUAAUUUCUCAGCAGAACUUUAAAAAGACGUUCAGUUCAGUUUCUGUUUGUUUUUGGAUCCAGAAGAAUCUGAGAUUAAAGUAUCAUUGAGGUUUUUAUGGACCUGUUCCUGUUGAUCUCUUGUGUUUGUUUAUUCUUCUCCUUAAUGAAUCUAACCUUUUGGUCUCUCUCUAGGAAAGAGCGAUGCCCUUUUUGGAGGGAUAAUGUUGGCAACACCAGCAGUCAUCGGUUUGCUCUGUGUUUUUUUCUUUUUCUCCAAAUGUCUGUUACGUGGAUUACAACGUGUCUACCGCUCCUUCCAAAAAGACAGACCCCCCCAGUCUAUCAGAGUCCAGCCUGAAGGCCUCAGCUCCCUCCAAACCAGGGCAGUCAUAUAAGGAGAAGAGAGAGAAACUGAACUCUGAACCUCAAUACCAGAUCAUAAUUAAUGAAAUGACUUAUUUUGAUGUUUGAAGAUUGAUGGAUUGUGUUGAUGUGUUGGUGUUUUAGAGACCUGAGUUGAACCUGAUUUGAUCUGUACAACCCACAGCAGCUGUAAAUAAAUCUUGUGGAGAACUUC
rnacentral:lncRNA from 1 species